rnacentral:RNase_P_RNA from 2 species
CGAGCAGGUCGGGCGAUCGCUCCCCGGCUUGCCGGGGGGAGGAAAGUCCGGACUCCGCAGGGUAGUGUGCUGGCUAACGGCCAGGAUCGGUCGGGCCUCGCUCCGUAAUGGAGAAGGGGUCGGGCCGGUACGGAAAGUGGCACAGAAAACAUACCGCCUCGCUUUUGCGGGGUAAGGGUGAAAAGGUGCGGUCCCCCGCGAGGGGACUUAAUGUAAGAGCGCACCGCCCGGAUGGCGACAUCCGGGGCAGGCAAAACCCCACACGGAGCAAGACCAAAUAGGAGGGGAGGAGUGGCCCGCUCCGCUCCCGUCCGGCAACGGGCGGGAAUCACUCUCGGGUAGGUCGCUUGAGCCUGCGAGUAAUCGCAGGCCCAGAGGAAUGAUCGCCAGCCCGCUUGCGCGGGUUACAGAAUCCGGCUUACAGACCUGCUUGCCUA